rnacentral:tRNA from 1 species
CAGAAUAUAGCAUAUCAUUUCAAUGCUUUUUACUUACACUAAAAAUAAAACAUAAGUUUAUUCUGC